rnacentral:rRNA from 1 species
CAGCAGCCGCGGUAAAACGUAGGUGGCAAGCGUUGUCCGGAAUUAUUGGGCGUAAAGGGCUCGCAGGCGGUUUCUUAAGUCUGAUGUGAAAGCCCCCGGCUCAACCGGGGAGGGUCAUUGGAAACUGGGAAACUUGAGUGCAGAAGAGGAGAGUGGAAUUCCACGUGUAGCGAUGAAAUGCGUAGAGAUGUGGAGGAACACCAGUGGCGAAGGCGACUCUCUGGUCUGUAACUGACGCUGAGGAGCGAAAGCGUGGGGAGCGAACAGGAUUAGAUACCCCAGUAGUCCCUGUCUCUUAUAA